GCCUCCCCCACAAAGAGGGAGUUCUGCUAAACCCCCUCCACCGUCUUCCAAACCCAUCCCACCUCGCCUUCCUCGCCGACCAUUUCCGCACCCACCCACCCCAUCGUCUCAGGCUCUUCGCUUCGUCCCCACUGCGACGGGAGGCUAGGGUUCCCGCACCAAGCCGGCUUCCCCCUCCGCCAUGGCCUUCUCCCAGAGAUAUGGAUACGGGAGCGCUGGGUUCUUCGAGAUCGUGCAGGGCUUGCACCCGCGCGGGAUCCCCAAGUCCGAGGCGAGAGGGGGAGCGGGCGUCGCCGUGAACAAGGUCAAGAAGUAUCUCGCCAAGAUGGACAGGGCUGUGGAUUACGACUUCUACGACGAUAACGAUCUCCGCUACGUCCGCUUCAAGUCGCCGUUCAACCGCCGCCCCCUCAUCGGCCGUCGUCCGCCCCUCGGGAAGAACGCGGGGAAGCGCACCCUCCGCCUCGUCGGGAGCAGCAGCCCGGACUACCUGCGGCAAUGGUGCGCCACUUGAUUUGGUCGUUUCGUGAAGAGGCUGCAUUUGGUGAUUUUGAUGACAGCGACGACUGGGAGGGCGAGGUGUAGGAGGGGCCAUCAGAAAACCAACAGUUUGAGCAAGGGAGGAGUGUAUAGUUCUUUGGAAGUCUCUUGGCUUGGGAGUUGGGACGCUGGGCUACUUACAUAUCUGCAUAGUACCUUUUACAUUUCUGCAAUCUCUACAAUGCGAGGAGAGAGCUGGCCUGUAAUAAUUUUUGCGCUCUCAAUGCUCGUCUCCUCUGCUCUAAAUUGUCAGAUUCUUCUCCAAUGCCUGCACUGAAAAGAGACCUUGGUAUUCUGUUA